UACGUAGGGUGCGAGCGUUGUCCGGAAUUACUGGGCGUAAAGAGCUCGUAGGUGGUUUGUCGCGUUGUUCGUGAAAACUCACAACUCAAUUGUGGGCGUGCGGGCGAUACGGGCAGACUGGAGUACUGCAGGGGAGACUGGAAUUCCUGGUGUAGCGGUGGAAUGCGCAGAUAUCAGGAGGAACACCGGUGGCGAAGGCGGGUCUCUGGGCAGCAACUGACGCUGAGGAGCGAAAGCGUGGGGAGCGAACAGG
rnacentral:rRNA from 1 species